AGUGGCGGACGGGUGAGUAACGCGUGAGAAUCUGCCUUGGGGUCGGGGACAACCACUGGAAACGGUGGCUAAUACCGGAUAAGCCGAUUGGUGAAAGAUUUAUUGCCCGAAGAGGAGCUCGCGUCUGAUUAGCUAGUUGGUGAGGUAAGAGCUCACCAAGGCAGCGAUCAGUAGCUGGUCUGAGAGGACGAUCAGCCACACUGGGACUGAGACACGGCCCAGACUCCUACGGGAGGCAGCAGUGGGGAAUUUUCCGCAAUGGGCGAAAGCCUGACGGAGCAAGACCGCGUGAGGGAGGAAGGCUCUUGGGUUGUAAACCUCUUUUCUCAGGGAAGAAGCUCUGACGGUACCUGAGGAAUCAGCCUCGGCUAACUCCGUGCCAGCAGCCGCGGUAAUACGGAGGAGGCAAGCGUUAUCCGGAAUUAUUGGGCGUAAAGCGUCCGCAGGUGGCGAUUCAAGUCUGCUGUCAAAGCACGGGGCUUAACUCCGUAAAGGCAGUGGAAACUGAAUAGCUAGAGUGCCGUAGGGGUAGAGGGAAUUCCCGGUGUAGCGGUGAAAUGCGUAGAGAUCGGGAAGAACAUCGGUGGCGAAAGCGCUCUACUAGACGGCAACUGACACUCAGGGACGAAAGCUAGGGGAGCGAAUGGGAUUAGAUACCCC
rnacentral:rRNA from 1 species